GUAGGGAAUAUUGGGCAAUGGAUGCAAGUCUGACCCAGCCAUGCCGCGUGGAGGAAGAAGGUCCUCUGGAUUGUAAACUCCUUUUUUGGGGGAAGAAUAGUUCUCUUGCGAGGGAAUGUGACGGUACCCUAAGAAUAAGCCACGGCUAACUACGUGCCAGCAGCCGCGGUAAUACGUAGGUGGCAAGCGUUGUCCGGAUUUAUUGGGUUUAAAGGGUGCGUAGGUGGUUUGAUAAGUCAGUGGUGAAAGCUGGUUGCUCAACAAUCAAGUUGCCAUUGAUACUGUCGGACUUGAGAGAAGUGGAGGUUCAUGGAAUGGAUGGUGUAGCGGUGAAAUGCAUAGAUAUCAUCCAGAACGUCGAUUGCGAAGGCAGUGGGCUGUACUUUAUCUGACACUGAGGCACGAAAGUGUGGGGAUCAAACAGGAUUAGAUACCCUGGUAGUCC
rnacentral:rRNA from 1 species